rnacentral:rRNA from 1 species
AGUGAACGCUGGCGGUAGGCCUAACACAUGCAAGUCGAACGGCAGCACAGGAGAGCUUGCUCUCUGGGUGGCGAGUGGCGGACGGGUGAGGAAUACAUCGGAAUCUACCUUUUCGUGGGGGAUAACGUAGGGAAACUUACGCUAAUACCGCAUACGACCUACGGGUGAAAGUGGGGGACCGCAAGGCCGCCCGCGAUUAGAUGAGCCGAUGUCCGAUUAGCUAGUUGGCGGGGUAAUGGCCCACCAAGGCGACGAUCGGUAGCUGGUCUGAGAGGAUGAUCAGCCACACUGGAACUGAGACACGGUCCAGACUCCUACGGGAGGCAGCAGUGGGGAAUAUUGGACAAUGGGCGCAAGCCUGAUCCAGCCAUACCGCGUGGGUGAAGAAGGCCUUCGGGUUGUAAAGCCCUUUUGUUGGGAAAGAAAUCCUAUCGGUUAAUAACCGGUGGGGAUGACGGUACCCAAAGAAUAAGCACCGGCUAACUUCGUGCCAGCCGCCGCCGUAAUAC